rnacentral:rRNA from 1 species
CCUACGGGGGGCAGCAGUGGGGAAUAUUGCACAAUGGGGGAAACCCUGCUGCAGCAACGCCGCGUGAGUGAAGGAGUAUUUCGGUAUGUAAAGCCCUAUCAGUAGGGAAGAAGAAAGACGGCACCUGCCUAAGAAGCCCCGGCCAACUACGUGCCAGCAGCCGCGGUAAUACGGAGGGGGCAAGCGUUAUCCGGAUUUACUGGGUGUAAAGGGAGCGUAGACGGCUGUGCAAGUCUGAAGUGAAAGCCCGUGGCUCAACCGCGGAACUGCUUUGGAAACUGUAUGGUUGGAGUACUGGAGAGGCAGGCGGAAUUCCUAGUGUAGCGGUGAAAUGCGUAGAUAUUAGGAGGAACACCAGUGGCGAAGGCGGCCUGCUGGACAGAAACUGACGUUGAGGCUCGAAAGCGUGGGGAGCAAACAGGAUUAGAUACCCUUGUAGUC